GUUAUUUUGUUUUAAAAGCUACUAAUUGGCUGUAACCAGUAGAAAUAUUUUCCUACUGUUACAAAUAAAAUAACGAAAUUAAUGAGGCCUUUUGGGUUUUCUCUCCCGUUUAAACUCUCCACUCAAAGGAAAAUAGCAUCAUUUUAUUUUCUCAAUAUAAAAGUAAUGCGUUACUGAUUUAAAAACAAAUGAGCAGAAAAGUUUAAAUAAGACACUCCCACGAUCUAUCUCCUUUUCUAACAUCUUGCUCCACAUUUUACAGGGGUGCAGAAGAAAUUGGACAUUCAUGACUUGUGAUGAGGGGAGGUAUAGAGAGAGACAGUUGGACUGGGACUAGAGAAGAUAAAAAAUUAUUCCUCGAAGAGGAAGAAAAGGCCAACGGACACGGGAGCAGAUACAGCCUCUCCCUGUAAACCAAAGAAAGGCAAAUUCACCACAAAGAGAAGCUACUUCUAGUCUCCGGGGUUGGCAAAGAGGAAAAUGAGUGGCAGGACCUGAUGUGUCAGGGAAGGAAGGGGAGGGCCGGCUUCUGCGGCGCUGCUGAUGGGAGUGGUAAUUGGGGUCCUGAUCUCAUGGUUGACGUGGCCCUCACGUGAGCUGGAGCCGAGGCGUGCAGACGUCCUUCUAAUCCUAGUCUUCGUUUGGUCCGGUUGCACUCUUCCUAUCGCCCAGAGGGCGAGAGGGCCUGUGGCCUGGGGGAAGGAGGACGAGGUUCUGCCUGGAUCCCAGCAGUAG
rnacentral:lncRNA from 1 species